rnacentral:lncRNA from 1 species
GGGCCGGCCCUCAGCCUCAACCUCCUUUUCCCCUCAUGCCGGGGGAGCCACGGGCCAACAUGGCUCUUCUCUUCGACAUCAGCUGAGACUGGAAGGCUCAUCCAUCUGAGGCCAUGGAAAGGGACCGCUGCUGGGGGCUGCUCUUCCAGCUGACAUCCCUGCAGUUCUUACUCUAAUCUUGGAGUCCUGGCCUGGCACGGUGGCGCACACCUGUAAUCCCAG